rnacentral:sRNA from 1 species
UGCCGUCGUGAUCGAGAUCGAGCAUCUGUCCAAGCGCUACGGCG